rnacentral:rRNA from 1 species
GGAGGACCAUCUCCCAAGGCUAAAUACUCCCUAGUGACCGAUAGUGAACCAGUACCGUGAGGGAAAGGUGAAAAGCACCCCGGAAGGGGAGUGAAACAGUUCCUGAAACCGUGUGCCUACAAGUAGUUAGAGCCCGUUAAUGGGUGAUAGCGUGCCUUUUGUAGAAUGAACCGGCGAGUUACGAUUUGUUGCAAGGUUAAGCGGAAAAAGCGGAGCCGUAGCGAAAGCGAGUCUGAAUAGGGCGCAUAAGUAACAGGUCGUAGACCCGAAACCAGGUGAUCUACCCAUGUCCAGGAUGAAGGUAAGGUAAUACUUACUGGAGGUCCGAACCCACGCACGUUGAAAAGUGCGGGGAUGAGGUGUGGGUAGCGGAGAAAUUCCAAUCGAACUUGGAGAUAGCUGGUUCUCUCCGAAAUAGCUUUAGGGCUAGCCUCGAGGUAAAGAGUCAUGGAGGUAGAGCACUGUUUGGACUAGGGGCCCUUCUCGGGUUACCGAAUUCAGAUAAACUCCGAAUGCCAUGUACUUAUACUCGGGAGUCAGACUGCGAGUGAUAAGAUCCGUAGUCGAAAGGGAAACAGCCCAGACCACCAGUUAAGGUCCCCAAAUAUAUGUUAAGUGGAAAAGGAUGUGGGGUUGCUUAGACAACCAGGAUGUUGGCUUAGAAGCAGCCACCAUUGAAAGAGUGCGUAAUAGCUCACUGGUCGAGUGACCCCGCGCCGAAAAUGUACCGGGGCUAAACAUAUUACCGAAACUGUGGAUGAACCUCUUUAGAGGUUCGUGGUAGGAGAGCGUUCUAAGGGCGGUGAAGUCAGACCGGAAGGACUGGUGGAGCGCUUAGAAGUGAGAAUGCCGGUAUGAGUAGCGAAAGAAGGGUGAGAAUCCCUUCCACCGAAUAUCUAAGGUUUCCUGAGGAAGGCUCGUCCGCUCAGGGUUAGUCGGGACCUAAGCCGAGGCCGAUAGGCGUAGGCGAUG